AGAGGGUGCGAGCGUUGUUCGGAAUUAUUGGGCGUAAAGCGCGAGUAGGCGGUCUGUUAAGUCGCGUGUGAAAGCUCCCGGCUCAACCGGGAAAGUGCGCGCGAAACUGGCGGGCUUGAGUGCCGGAGAGGGUGGCGGAAUUCCCGGUGUAGAGGUGAAAUUCGUAGAUAUCGGGAGGAACACCAGAGGCGAAGGCGGCCACCUGGAAGGACACUGACGCUGAGAAGCGAAAGCGUGGGGAGCAAACAGGAUUAGAUACCCUGGUAGUCCACGCCGUAAACGAUGGGUGCUAGCUGUAGCGGGAGUUGACCCCCGCUGUGGCGACGCUAACGCAAUAAGCACCCCGCCUGGGAAGUACGGCCGCAAGGCUA
rnacentral:rRNA from 1 species